rnacentral:rRNA from 1 species
GGGUUAACGCCCAGAAGAGCCGCAGUGAAUAGGCCCAAGCGACUGUUUAUCAAAAACACAGGUCUCUGCUAAACCGUAAGGUGAUGUAUAGGGGCUGACGCCUGCCCGGUGCUGGAAGGUUAAGAGGAGUGGUUAGCUUCUGCGAAGCUACGAAUCGAAGCCCCAGUAAACGGCGGCCGUAACUAUAACGGUCCUAAGGUAGCGAAAUUCCUUGUCGGGUAAGUUCCGACCCGCACGAAAGGCGUAACGAUUUGGGCACUGUCUCAACGAGAGACUCGGUGAAAUCAUAGUACCUGUGAAGAUGCAGGUUACCCGCGACAGGACGGAAAGACCCCGUGGAGCUUUACUGUAGCCUGAUAUU